ACUCGUCCGGAACGCCCGCGAACAAACGCCUUCGGAUUCCUCCGUCGACGUCGUACUUGGGGAAUCGUUCAAUAAAUUUUGGACGAGUGAAUGCCAGCCCACACCGUCCUCUUCUUGUUCCUCUUUUGGAAUCGGUUUAUCUCCUCGAUCGCUUCUCUCCAACCCCAUACAGCGCCUAUAGGGUUCGCAGUCUUAUCGGGAUCCAGCAUUAGAGCGUUUGCAGGCGCCACUUUUCUCGCUUCAGGAUCGCCAGUCUCCACAGUUCUAGGGCUUCCAGACCGCGUGAUCGUGGAAAAUGAAGGAUACUGACUCGGAUCUCAGAGCUCUGCUCUGAUAGAUACUGACUCCAAACACCGGGCACAUAGGAAGGAUGGUGACAAUUUUGUUCUUUUUUUUUUUUUUUUGUGGAAUGCAUAUAACAUAAUAACCUAGGUGAUCCCCCAAAAGUUAGAUUGUGGGGUGAUGGAAGGUUUAGAAAUUUUGUUUGGUAGAGAAGGUAUUGGGCACUUUGAAAUGUUAAUUUUUUAAAAAAAUUUCUGAAGAGGUUCAAUAGACGUAUUGAUGUUAACCUCUAAAGCUAGAGAUCCACAACCCAUUAACAGGAACUUCUAAUACAAUUUUUAGUAGUAAUAAUGAUAGUGAUACUAAUAAUAACUUUUCAUAAUAUCAUCAUUUGUUUUAUAUAAAUUUGCAUCAGUGCAUAUGUAUGCAAUAUCAAAAUAAUGAGCCAAUUAGAAUACACGCAUAUGGAUAUCAAGCGAUUUACAAGUUUAAUAAUCUUUUUGUUUUAGUACUUCCAAACCAGUAUAUUUGUAAUUUCUAGCAUCUAAAUUAUUCGUAUAUGAAAUUUGAUUAGGUUUUCGAGAUUCUAGCCAUACCAUUCUAAAGUCAACAUCCUAAAGUAUCCUCGUUUGAAAUCCUAAUUUUCAAAACUUGAAUCAACUCACUAUCUUCCUUAGAUAUAAGGUAGAUAGCGUUUCUGAGAUUUAGACCAUUAUCACAUACAAUGUGUAAACUUUAGAAUGGCAACACUGGUAGGGAUGCAUUCUGAUUUCUGCAUACAAAAUUUGCACGACACAAUCUAUUAAUCAAUCAUAAAUCAAAUCUUGGCCCUCGGUAAGAGGAACCUGAAGAAAUAUAUUUUGUUAAUGUUAUUCAUAGUAGCAACCUAGUUAUAGCAAUUAAAUGGAGCAACUCUUCACAUUCUCAAUCAUAAUGUGAACCCACAUCACUAACUCCAUGAUCAACUCAAGAAGAUUAUUGCAUUGCACAAGACCAAGUCAAGAAUGUUCACCAAAUAUGCAUAUGCAUAUGAUGCUCUAACAAAUUCCUAAACCUAAGCUCUGAUAUCAUGUUGUCACGCCCCAUACAAGCUAGGCUUGCCAUGAUGCUAGCUUCACUCUCCAUGCUUGAACUAUAACAAAAUACAGAGAGAAACUAACUAAACAACAUGCAAGUAACUUCACUAAUGUUAUGUAUAUAUUUCAACAAUUAACCUGAAGGUCAAAGGGAAAGGAGAGUGAGCACAAAGUGGAAAUAAGAGAUAUGCAUGAAAACAUAAUCAACGAAAGCAACAACAUAAUUUACAAAUUAUAUUUCCAUAUCAUUUGUCUUUUAUUCUCUUCUUAAUUCAUUUCAUCAGUUUUCUUUAAUUUCUUAUUUUCCAACAUUAUCCACAUUAUAGUCUUAUUUAUCCGACAAUUCAAUAUAGUUUAUUAAUCACACAUAUAAUAUAUUCAUCAAGGAUGUGUCGUAUAAGUAAAGGUGAAAUGACUUGCAAUCCAACUAAUACGAAUGCAUCGUGUAUAAAUUAAAAUAUCAAGGUGUGCGACUUGUAAUCCACUCGAGAAAGAUGCAUCGUAUGGGAGCAUGAAUGACCUGCAAUCCACUCGUAACGAAAAUGAUCAUAUGUAUGCAUCUAUACAUACAUAGGUCAGGUGAACGACCUGCAAUCCACCAAAAGGGAUGUAUCGUAUGUACAUGGGAUGAACGAUCCGCAAUCCACCUAAUACAAAAUACAUCAUGUGAAUGCACAUAUACAAACACAUAUAUAUAGGGUGAACGACCUACAACCCACCCGAAAGUAGGAGUGUAAACGAGCCAAACUGCUCGUGAGCUAUUCAGGUCUCGGUUCGAAAAAAAGUUCGUUCGAUCAAGUUAACGAGCCGAGCUCGAGUCUGAUUUCGAGCUCAAAAAUAUUAUCGAGCCGAGAUCGAGUUUAAUAGUAUUUAAUUCGUGAGCUCGUAAAUAUGUUUGUUUAGAGGCUCGCGAACAUGUUCGUUAAGAAACUCGUUUAUAUAUAUAUAUAAUUUAUUAUUAAUUAUUAUAGCUAAUUAUCUUAAACGAGCUUUUUUUCGAGUCUAGCUCGAGCCGAGUUCGAGCUAUUUAAUUUUAUUACGAGCUGAGCUCGAUCUUAAGAACUAAAGCUCGAAUUGAACUCGAGCUGAGCUCGAGCUUAGGGAUAACGAACCGAGCCCGAGCUCGAACCUCUUACUGUUCAGCUCAGCUCCUCUUACUGUUCAGCUCAGCUCGUUUACCACCCUACCCGAAAGUGGAUCUCAUAAAAAUUGGAUGAAUGACCUGCAAGUCAUCUCGUGAGAUGCCUCACAUAAGAAUAGAGUGAACAGUCCACAAUCGACCCAAUGAGGAAAAUCAACUCAAUUUGGUAGAAGCCUAGGAACGCGUGAAAAGACUUAAGAGUCCUCUUUGUGCAUGGAGUCUACUGCUCUAUACUACAAGUAAUCACACAACUCUUUGUGCAUGGAGCCGAAAUUCUAUAAUGUAAAGGCUACAUUUAUUAUCUUGACAAUUUAAUGUCAAUGAUAAUGUGCCUCUUUCAAGGGCAUAUAGUCCAAAACUCUAAAUAUAAUUAUUGCAUCUAUUAUUUUAUUAAUUAAUAUCAGUGCUAGAGUAAUUUCUAAAACACGGAGCUAAACUAUUGAUAUAAUUAGUUUCUUACUUUAUUAGUUAGCAUAAUUAAUUAGGUAAUCUAUUUUUUUUUGGAUCUCAAAUAAAAAACAAACAAGAUAGGAAUCAACUAAAGAAUAAAAGGGCAAGACGUGAUAGGAAAAAUCAAGUGGUGAGAGUAAGGAUAACAGUAGAAUGAAUUCUAUUUUUCACAUUAUCAACUUUCAUAAAUUAAAUCAUGCACAAGGUAAAUGUAGUGAGACACCAUCCUGUUCUUGUUCCUCUCUUGGAAUCGGUUUCUUGCAAAAGGAAUGCUUUAAUACGCACCUGACCCCGGUGUGUUUCUUUCCAUUUCUGGAUCCAUGUAAUGUGGUAUGAUUGUCUCCUCGCUUCUGUCGCCCAGCCCAUACAACGCUCGUCGUGCUUUUGUCAGGUUUGCAGUCUUAUCGUGAUCCAUGAACAUCUAAUAUUUGCAGCAUUGGAGCGUUUGCAGGCACCAGUUCGCUAGCUUUUCGAAACCUGCCUGGUUUUCUCGCUUCAGGAUCUCCAGUCUCCCCAGUUCGAGGGAUCUAGUUAGUAAUCCCAUCUACCACGACCAGCUUCUGGCUGUCGAUUGACAGGGCUGAGGCAGAUCGUCGCGAUUCCAAGUGGCCUAACCCUUACGAUCCAAGAACAAUCCUUGUCAGCAAGCUUUCUUAUGGAGUGAGAUGCCCCAACUUGCUAGAAGAAUUGAGGAUGAGUUUACCAUGUUUAUACUUACCCAUGGAACUACGAGAAGAAAGAAGAGAAAAAUAUUUUGCUCUUUUUGCGUGCAAGUUGGCAUGGGAGGUGUUGGAAAAAUAUUAUUCAAUAAGUAAAAUAUAUCUCCUCAUAUAUAUUUAGUUGGAGAAAAAUAAUUUUUCCUACCUUGAUCCGGGAAACUAAAACAUUUUUCUCAUUUCUCUAAACCUUUUUUAUGUCUUUUUAAUGUAUGAAUUGAUUUGUUGUUUUAAGACAGUGGAGACUAAUCUGCAAGCGGGAGCAAAUCAUAGAUAAGAGCUUUUGUGGGUGAUAUUAAUUGGCAUAAUCUUUGCACUCAUUAUCCAGUUAUUGUCGGCCUAUCUGGGGUGACUACAGCAUGCUUGCGGAUAUUUCUUGCUCGAGAGUGACUUUGCAUUGUUCGUGGCGUUGCUCAUCAACAUCACAGUGGUCAGUCUCUGGAUCUGUGUGUGCUUCCACUGAUCUCUCUGCUGAAGACUCCAAUAGAUGCAACGAUUUGACCUUGAACUCUGCGUCUUUAUUGCUCAAGAAUGUGCUGGGCAAAUCAAGCUCCAUCAUUUAUGGAAUCUCUUUAUUGGCCUCUAGCCAAAGCUCUACAAUCACAGGCACGUACACUGGCUAAUAUAUCAUGCAGGGUUUUCUAGACAUCAAAAUGAGAAUAUGGUUGCGAAACUUUGUGACUCGAUGCAUCGCAAUCUGUCCCAGCCUUUUUGUAGCCAUUAUCGAAGGAACAGCAGGAUCAGGGAGGCUUAUAAUCAUAGCAUCGAUGAUCCUCUCCUUCGAGUUGUCCUUCGUCCUCGUCCCUCUCCUCAAGUUCAGCAGCAGCACCACCAAGAUGGGGCAUCACAAGAAUUCUAUCUACAUAAUUGUGUCUCAUGGGUCCUUGGCUUGGGUGUGAUUGGGAUCAACAUCUACUACUUUAGCACGAGCUUUGUGACUUGGAUAAUCCACAGCAGCUUCCCGAAGCCUGUGAUGGUCUUGAUUGGGGUCAUGGUCUUUCCUGUGAUGGCCUUUUAUGUGAUCUCUUUGAUCUACUUGAUGUUCAAGAAGGACAGGAUGACUAGAAGUUGGAGGUUUCGAUGGAGCAGGGAGGGGCAAGGAGUCAGAGACGGAUGCAGGUAGAGGCUAUCCUGAGCUAUAUAGCCUAUUCCAAAUUUUUUACUUACAUUGUUGUGCAUUAUUGGCAGCAGAAUGAGAACCAUGAACAAAUUGCUUGCUCCAUCUUUUCUUCUUUAUUUUAUUAAUAUCGUUCCCUUCAUAGAUUGACCAACUGGUUUGAUUAGAUAGGAUUGGCUCUGCCUCCUCAAAAUGAGAUCAGAAAGCUUGUGCUGUUGAUAUCAGUUCUAGUGUUUUUGAUGACCACAAGAUAAUUCGGGGAGGUGAGCUAUAUGAAGCCCCCUGCAGUAGAGGUGAUGAAGGCCUGUUUGUCCCAAGAAUGCAGGGCAAUAUUGCCACCGGAGACGUCAUUUCCCUCCUGGGCACUUGUCAUACUGCACAACUUAUUUCUGCAUUCAGCACUGGUGCUCUCAAGGAAGACAUCACCUUCGUGGUCAACGUUCUUGCUAGAGCGUGGCUUCGCAUCGUUCGUGGCGUUGCUCAUCAACAUCGCAGUGGCCUCAGUCUCCGGAACCUUGUGCGCUACUACUGAUCUCUCUGCUGAAGAGUCCGAUAGAUGCAGCGAUUUGACCCUGAACUCUGCAUCUUUCUUACUCAAGAAUGUGCUGGGCAAAUCAAGCUCCAUCAUCCAUGGAAUCUCUUUAUUGGCCUCCGGCCAAAGCUCUUCAAUCUCAGGCACAAACGCUAAUCAAUAGAUUAUGCAGAUGAUCCUCUCCUUCAAGCUGCCCCUCGCCCUGUCCCUCUCAAGUUCAGCAGCAGCACCACCAAGAUGGGGCCCUCACAAGAACUCCAUCUACAUAAUUGUGGUCUCAUGGGUCCUCGGCUUGGGCGUGAUUGGGAUCAACUUCUACCACGAGCUUUGUCACUUGGAUAAUCCACAUCAGCUUCCUGAAGCCUGUGACGGUCUUGAUUGGGGUCGUGGUCUAAUUUCCUGGAAAACCUGGGGAUGUUUUGGGCAGUGCCUGCCAUACUGCAAUGGUCUCAUCUGUAUCUUUCGCCUCCAUCAUAUCUUUUGCCUAAAAGUAGGGAUUUUUUGUUUUUGUUGUUCGUCCAUUUAUUUAUUUAUAUUGACCAAUUUGUUACAGCGUACAUGUUUGUUCCUAUAUACUGUCUCAUCUGUUCCUUUUGCUCCUGAAUAAGUUAUUGUUUGUUUUUUUUUUUUU